UGGGGAAUCUUGGACAAUGGGCGCAAGCCUGAUCCAGCGACGCCGCGUGGGUGACGAAGGCCUUCGGGUUGUAAAGCCCUUUUCCCGGGGACGAUGAUGACGGUACCCGGGGAAUAAGCACCGGCUAACUCCGUGCCAGCAGCCGCGGUAAGACGGAGGGUGCUAGCGUUGUUCGGAAUGACUGGGCGUAAAGGGCGCGUAGGCGGCCGCUUGCGUCGGAUGUGAAAGCCCGGGGCUCAACCCCGGAACGGCAUCCGAUACGGGGCGGCUCGAGACCGAGAGAGGUGAGUGGAAUACCCAGUGUAGAGGUGAAAUUCGUAGAUAUUGGGUGGAACACCGGUGGCGAAAGCGGCUCACUGGCUCGGUUCUGACGCUGAGGCGCGAAAGCGUGGGGAGCAAACAG
rnacentral:rRNA from 1 species